GUACACCAAACAACAGUGGAGACAGAAAUGAGCAAGAUAAAAUGCUGCACACCGUUAUUUUCCCCUUGAAUCCUGUAGGAUUUGCAAAUGCUUACCCAAAAGAGCUUGGCAUUUUCCUGUUGAAGCAAAAUGAAGAAUCACAAGACCUCUGGAAAAUUCUACUGAACUAUCAUUGCCAAUCAACAAUGUUAACAAGCUUUCUAGAACGGCCAGGCUGCGUAUCACGGAGGACCACUUGAGUGAGGAGCUAAAGGAAGGUAAUAAAGGGGUC